UUUAUUACAAUGAAGAGUUUGAUCCUGGCUCAGGAUGAACGCUAGCGGGAGGCUUAACACAUGCAAGUCGAGGGGCAGCGAGGGUAGCAAUAUCUGUCGGCGACCGGCGCACGGGUGAGUAACGCGUAUGCAACCUACCUCUAACAGGGGCAUAGCCCGGGGAAACUCGGAUUAAUACCCCAUAAAAUUCAGAAUUCGCAUGUUUUUUGAAUUAAAGUCACAACGGUUAGAGAUGGGCAUGCGUCCCAUUAGCUAGUUGGUAAGGUAACGGCUUACCAAGGCUACGAUGGGUAGGGGGUCUGAGAGGAUGAUCCCCCACACUGGUACUGAGACACGGACCAGACUCCUACGGGAGGCAGCAGUGAGGAAUAUUGGUCAAUGGGCGCAAGCCUGAACCAGCCAUCCCGCGUGCAGGAUGACAGCCUUAUGGGUUGUAAACUGCUUUUGUACAAGAAGAAACCCCUAUACGUGUAUAGGGUUGACUGUACUGUAAGAAUAAGCAUCGGCUAACUCCGUGCCAGCAGCCGCGGUAAUACGGAGGAUGCAAGCGUUAUCCGGAUUUAUUGGGUUUAAAGGGUGCGUAGGCGGAAAACUAAGUCAGCGGUGAAAUCUUGCGGCUUAACCGUAAAAUUGCCAUUGAUACUGGUUUUCUUGAAUGUAGUUGAGGUAGGCGGAAUGUGUAGUGUAGCGGUGAAAUGCUUAGAUAUUACACAGAACACCGAUUGCGAAGGCAGCUUACUAAACUAUGAUUGACGCUGAGGCACGAAAGCGUGGGGAUCGAACAGGAUUAGAUACCCUGGUAGUCCACGCCGUAAACGAUGAUUACUCGUUGUGAGCGAUACACAGUUCGCGACUGAGCGAAAGCAUUAAGUAAUCCACCUGGGGAGUACGAUCGCAAGAUUGAAACUCAAAGGAAUUGACGG
rnacentral:rRNA from 1 species